GGAUUAGAUACCCUGGUAGUCCACGCCGUAAACGAUGUCUACUAGCCGUUGGGGUACUUAGAUGCCUUAGUGGCGCAGCUAACGCGAUAAGUAGACCGCCUGGGGAGUACGGCCGCAAGGUUAAAACUCAAAUGAAUUGACGGGGGCCCGCACAAGCGGUGGAGCAUGUGGUUUAAUUCGAUGCAACGCGAAGAACCUUACCUGGUCUUGACAUCCUGCGAAGCUUUUAGAGAUAGAAGUGUGCCUUCGGGAGCGCAGAGACAGGUGCUGCAUGGCUGUCGUCAGCUCGUGCCG
rnacentral:rRNA from 1 species